UAGCUAGCACCUGGCACUUUCUUCCACGGAUGUGUUUGAGCUAUGGGAGCCCACCUACAUUUACAGAAAAUGAAGAUGCCCAGAAGAUUACACCUUCUCCAGAAUGUAUCUUAACUGAAAUAAGACAAUCACCGAUUGUUUUAAGGGAGAAAUCUUUGCUGUUCAGUGAUGGCAAAAUGGAUGAAAACUCAGGUAGCCAAUGGCUCUCCCUGAGCCUGAAAGAAGAAUCUCUCUCACAGAGCCUUUUACAACGAGCUCAUUGGUACAGCAAUUGGCCAGAUUUUCUCAUACAAUCCAGUUGAAAACCCUCCUUAAAUUGUCCCACUGGAUUUAUACAGAUAUCCACUCAAGACCUCUAUCACUUAAUGAAACUUAGAAAAAAAUCCCCUAUGCUUCUAAUAACAAGUAAGGUCAUGCUUUAAGGUCAAGCAUGCUAUCCCAAGUAGAAUUUUAAAAAACAUUAAACCUGGUAGACAGACACUCAAAUCUGAAAAAUUGAUCUCAAGUUCUCUGGAAAAUGAUGUGCUUCUAGAAUAUUAUCCACACUCCAGUAUCUAGUUUCCUGCUUUGUGAGAAGGGUAAGGUACUGUCUGUAUGACCCUUAGGGACACUCUGAAGGCCAAAUAAAGCCAUACAUUUUUCUGAAUUAGUCAGAAUAUUAAAAUAAGUGACAGAGACAAUCAAGGCAUGAAGAUGAAGCAUGUAAGAUGAAGGAUCCAAUGUGACAUGUCACCAAGGAAUUCUCCAAGCAAGAACAAAGUGAUCCUGCGCUAUGCCCAUGGAUUGCAGGUGGUAUUGAGACGAAAGGGUAUGUGGAUGGUCUUUGCAAGAGGCAUGUGAGCAGAGGGGGCCCCUGCAGGGAUUCCCAUGGGCAUUCCCUGAGGACCUCACAACCAAGUAGGCUCCAGCAGCAUCCGCAGGUAGAAAGGUAGGGAUGCAAACAAGAGCAGGGGGCAGCCGGGCGGCAUCAGGUGAGGUUGCUGAAUGCUGUCACAAUGGUUCAGGCAUAUCCACAGAGACAAAAUGAACAAAAAAGCUUUCUGAACAGAUGACCAUGUUUCCUCCUCAACCUUGCCUGAGAAAGUGAACAUGAACCACAAAAGUAUCAGAGGUGAGAAGAACCUGAUUCUGGGAUUGCCUCUAAAACAAAAAGGAAAGAGAAUCCUGUGGCCAAACCUCAGAGACCUCUCACCAAAGAUGCAGUAGGAGAGGUAACUGAUGUCCCUCACCUAGAUUGUGUUCUUUUCUGUUUCUACACUCUCCAUUCCUGCUUCCUCAGGAGGAUGGAGGAGGUAGAGGUGAGUCCAGUACAUCUCUGCCUGUCCAUCUUGUCUCUCCACGCAGCUAAAGCAAGGAGAUUAAUGGUUUUGUUUCCUUCCACUCAGUUCUCUCUCCUAUUUUCUUCCUUCCACUAAACGGACAUUAAAGAUCACCGCUUGUGGCCAGGUGCAGUGGCUCAUGCAUGUAAUCUGCCUACUUUGGGAGGCCAAAGCAAGUGGAUCACUUGAGGUCAGGAGUUUGAGACCAGCCUGGACAAUAUGGUGAAACUCCAUCUCUACAAAAAAAUACAAAAAUUAGCCAAGUGUGGUGGUUCAUGCCUGUAAUCCCAGCUACUCUGGAGGCUGAGGUGAGAGAAUCACUUGAACCCGGGAGGUGGAGGCUGCAGUGAGCCACUAUUGUGCCACUAUACUCCAGCCUGGGUGACACAGCAAGACCAUGUCUCAAAAAAAACAAAAACAAAAACCAAAAAACACUUAAUGUUUCACGUUUAGUAACCAAGUGUAGAUUCUGCAUGUUUUCAGUUGUGAGUUUAGGUCUUCAUAUUCCCCAGAGUUCUAAAUAAUACUUAACGUCUCUUUCUCUGCCUCUCUGAGGCUGUGUCACACUUGGUAGCUCUGAAAGUAUCCAAAGCAAACAUGAGAUCAGCUGUAUCUCUCUCAAGACAUUUGAUGCAGGUUUGAGAGAGAGAAGGCAAUAGCACAGAGGCCAUUAACUUUCUUUUUCAAAAGCACCUUUCUCAUUAGAUGUGAAAAAUGUGUUUUAGAACAGCAGUUUAUGGCAGUUGACUAGAUAAAACUUCAGAAAGAUAGUACACACAACGAAAGGUGAGACAAAUUGCAGUGAUAAGGUAUGUCAGCAGAGGGCUGAUGCUGCAAGAAUAUAGUGUCUUUGUGUCUGUAGCCAUUCAUUAAGCAAGGUUAUGUCAGUGUGGUUGGCAUAGAGAAAUGAAGACUCCAAUAUACCCAGGAGCAGCUGAACAUAAUUAUUGGUACCUCUGUAUUUCUGCAUCCUAUGCUCAGACUACUCAUCGGCACUGUUAUGUUCAAUUGAAAAAUAAUAUGCCAGAAAAUUACUUUUAAAAUAAUUACUCUUAGUAAUUUAAUAAACAAUGUGUGA
rnacentral:lncRNA from 1 species